rnacentral:rRNA from 1 species
GUCAAGUAAGAAUACCCGCUGAACUUAAGCAUAUCAAUAAGCGGAGGAAAAGAAACUAACUAGGAUUCCCUUAGUAACGGCGAGUGAACUGGGAAGAGCUCAAAUUUUAAAUCAUUUCGGUGAAUUGUAAUUUAAAGAAAGUGUUUUGACUUUUCAGUUUAAUCUAAAUCCUUUGGGAUGAGGUAUCACAGAGGGUGAGACUCCCGUUCGUGAUUAAACCUCGGAUUGCACUAAUUCACUUUCUAAGAGUCGAGUUGUUUGGGAUUGCAGCUCUAAAUGGGUGGUAAAUUUCACCUAAGGCUAAAUAUAUGCAAGAGACCGAUAGCGAACAAGUACCGUGAGGGAAAGAUGAAAAGAACUUUGAAAAGAGAGUUAAACAGUACGUGAAAUUGUUGAAAGGGAAACGAUUGAAGUCAGUCAUGCUAGUGAGGAAUCAACUUGGUGGUUUACUUCCUUGUGUAUUUUCUUACUUGGCAGGUUAGCAUCAAUUUUGGUUGUCAUCAAAUAAUUGGGGGGAAUGUGGCUUUUCUUCGGGAAAGUGUUAUAGACCUUGAUAGAUGUGGCGACUGAGAUUGAGGUUUGCAGCGAAUGCCUUUGGCUAGUCAUCUGUCUUCCGACCGUCACCUCGCUUUUGACAGCUUGCUGAUGAUUGCGGGAUUUGGUGGCCUAGAAGUUAGAAUGCACAUAAAUUCGCUAAGGAUGCUGACGUAAUGGCUUUAAACGACCCGUCUUGAAACACGGACCAAGGAGUCUAACAUAUGUGCGAGUGUU